UUCUGAGAUAUAUAAAGAUCCUUCCCUUAAAAAAGUGAUGAAGUAGGGGGAUUUGGCUUUUGGCUUUUGCCCUUUUACUAUAGAUUUUUUAUGUCCUCCAGUCACUCCUUUUUAGUGUUCAUCUUGAGGAAACAUGAACCCAGGGCUUGUUGCCUCCAGUGAUUGUGGUUUGUCAUCUGAUCUCUCAUUGAUGAGAGAUGUGUCUGAGUGUGGUGACCAGUAUCACACCCCAGCACUAAAAGGAAGCAAACUGUAUGAUUGACUAAGUAUCUUAAUCUUCAUGUGCCUUUCUGAAUCUGUAAAAAUUGGUUAAUAAGAGAAUUCUCAAUUUAUAAAUACUUAAUGGCAUUAAAUAAAAUCAUAUUUACUAAGCAUUUAGAGCAGUACCCACAAAAUUUUGCUCUAUGCAACACUAUACAUAAAAAAUAUUAUUAUGCUCAUGGUGAGUCAGAAAGCUUUCAAGGCCCCUUUUAAAAUUCAGAUCUUACCUUUUAGAUAAUUGGCCUGGAAUUAUAUUGCAUCUGCUCCUUUAGAUAGUAUAAUAAAGAGAAGCAUAUAUCGAUGGCAAGGAUAAAAGUUUCUAAAAUUAGCAAAAUGAGUAAGAGAAUAAAGUGUUGAAUACUAUAGUCUUUCAUAAAAGUCAAAACUAGUGAGCAUUAUCAUCCAAUAAAUCUUGCCUAUACUGAGUUUGAUCAUAGCUUAUGAUAGUGAAGAUUGUCUUUGAGAUAAAUUGCUUUUUGUUUUUGUCUAUCAGGAAAAGCAAACAACUUAAUUUUAGUUGUUAUAGAUGAGAGUCCUUGUAGUCAGGUCAUAAAUUCACUUUGUGAAAGAGAUGAAAAGUCAAAGAAUCCAGAGACACUGAAAGACAUGACCACGUUUUAUUUGUAAGGGGCACAGAUGCUCCAUGGGGAGAAAAAUAAUCUACUGAUAGGGUUCUCAAUUCCACACUCCAGAGUGGACACAUAAGUGUGUUUCUUCAAAAUGGGCAAUAGAAAGCAUCAUUUAUGGUAUUCUGAUUAUAUAUUUUCUACUGUUUACCUACUCCACCUGGCCCAGCCCUAAAUCUUCAUUGUGUUCUCCAAAUAUAUAAAUCAAGGAUUUGUGAGUGAGGUAGAGUAGAAAAUGAUGGCAUCUAUUGCCUUAUAAUAUGGUUUAGAUCUGUGUCCCUGUCCAGAUCUCACCUGGCCCAGCUUAAAUCCUCACUGUGUUCCCAAAAUAUAUAAAUCAAGGAUUUGUGAGUGAGGUGGAGUAGAAAAUGACUGACUCUAUUGCCAUAUAAUAUGGUUUGGAUUUGUGUCCCUGUCCAAAUCUCAUGUCAAAUUGUAAUCCCCACUUUUGGGGACUGGUGGGCGGUAACUGAUCAUGGAGGUGUUUCUCAUGUAUGGUUUAGCACCAUUCCCUUGGUGCUGUUCUUGUGAUAGUGAGUUCUCAUGAGAUCUGGUUGUUUAAAAGUGUGUAACACCUUCCGCCUUGCUCUCUUUCUGCUCCUGCUCCCACCAUGUGAGACCCCCUGACUUCCCCUUUGCCUUCUGCAAUGAUUGGAAGCUUCCUGAGGCCUCCCCAGCAGCAGAAGCCACAAUGCUUCUUGAACAACCUGCAGAACUGACAUGCCACUUAUAAACUCCUAAUUACCCGAACUAGAAAAGAUGAACAUUCGUUUUAAAAUUUGCAGCAUCUUCUUUCCAUACUCUCUAAAUGUUUUUGGAAUUACACCUUUACAGGAACUGUUUCACAAAUUUCAAAGCAGUAUAAUUAUUCCUGUGGUAGAAGGGAUACUACGCUGAAAUGCAACAUUCUGCUUAUAGUCCUCUUAUGAAACGUAAAUAAAAUUAACACGAAACAACAAUGUUACCAUUUAGUAUACCUUUUUUUUGCCGUUGUUAAUUGAGACAUAGAGUAAACUAAAAUUCUUUCAAAGUAGCAGUAACUAAAAACAUACACAUAAUCACACUUCCUCAUUUCAGAAUGUUAGACUGCUGGAAU
rnacentral:lncRNA from 10 species